GGAUUAGUACGCUGGUCGUGCCUUCGGUACGUACUGGUGUUACUGAUUCCUACCUUCUGACGAACCGUCAUGUCAUUAAUUUGAUGUGGCGGGGAAUCAGGACUGUUACUUUGAAAAAAUUAGAGUGUUUAAAGCAGGCACACGCUUGAAUACAUUAGCAUGGAAUAAUGAAAUAGGACGUUUGACCCUAUUUUGUUGGUUUCUAGGAUCGACGUA
rnacentral:rRNA from 1 species